ACUCCUACGGGAGGCAGCAGUGGGGAAUAUUGCACAAUGGGGAAACCCUGAUGCAGCCAUGCCGCGUGUGUGAAGAAGGCCUUCGGUUGUAAAGCACUUCAGUAGGGAGGAAGGUAGUGUAGUUAACACCUGCAUUAUUUGACGUUACCUACAGAAGAAGCACCGGCUAACUCCGUGCCAGCAGCCGCGGUAAUACGGAGGGGUGCGAGCGUUAAUCGGAAUUACUGGGCGUAAAGCGCAUGCAGGCGGCCUGUUAAGUCAGAUGUGAAAGCCCGGGGGCUUAACCUCGGAAUUGCAUUUGAAACUGGCAGGCUAGAGUCUUGUAGAGGGGGUAGAAUUUCAGGUGUAGCGGUGAAAUGCGUAGAGAUCUGAAGGAAUACCAGU
rnacentral:rRNA from 1 species